CUUGCUCUCUGGGUGGCGAGUGGCGGACGGGUGAGGAAUACAUCGGAAUCUACUCUGUCGUGGGGGAUAACGUAGGGAAACUUACGCUAAUACCGCAUACGACCUACGGGUGAAAGUGGGGGACCGCAAGGCCUCACGCGAUUGAAUGAGCCGAUGUCGGAUUAGCUAGUUGGCGGGGUAAAGGCCCACCAAGGCGACGAUCCGUAGCUGGUCUGAGAGGAUGAUCAGCCACACUGGAACUGAGACACGGUCCAGACUCCUACGGGAGGCAGCAGUGGGGAAUAUUGGACAAUGGGCGCAAGCCUGAUCCAGCCAUACCGCGUGGGUGAAGAAGGCCUUCGGGUUGUAAAGCCCUUUUGUUGGGAAAGAAAUCCUGUUGAUUAAUACUCGGCAGGGAUGACGGUACCCAAAGAAUAAGCACCGGCUAACUUCGUGCCAGCAGCCGCGGUAAUACGAAGGGUGCAAGCGUUACUCGGAAUUACUGGGCGUAAAGCGUGCGUAGGUGGUUGUUUAAGUCUGUCGUGAAAGCCCUGGGCUCAACCUGGGAAUUGCGAUGGAUACUGGGCAACUAGAGUGUGGUAGAGGGUGGCGGAAUUCCCGGUG
rnacentral:rRNA from 1 species